CAGGAGGAUAGCCCGGGGAAACUCGGAUUAAUACUCCAUAAGAUUUUGAUUGGCAUCAAUUAGGAUUGAAAGGUUUAUUGGAUAAGGAUAGGCAUGCGUCAGAUUAGUUAGUUGGUAGUGUAACGGACUACCAAGGCGAUGAUCUGUAGGGGGCCUGAGAGGGUGAACCCCCACACUGGUACUGAGACACGGACCAGACUCCUACGGGAGGCAGCAGUGAGGAAUAUUGGACAAUGGAGGGGACUCUGAUCCAGCCAUCCCGCGUGCAGGAAGACGGCCUUAUGGGUUGUAAACUGCUUUUGUAUGGGGAUAAAUCUACUUACGUGUAGGUAGUUGAAGGUACCAUACGAAUAAGCAUCGGCUAACUCCGUGCCAGCAGCCGCGGUAAUACGGAGGAUGCAAGCGUUAUCCGGAUUCAUUGGGUUUAAAGGGUCCGUAGGCGGGCUAAUAAGUCAGUGGUGAAAUUUUGUCGCUUAACGAUAAAACUGCCAUUGAUACUGUUAGUCUUGAGUGAUAUUGAAGUAGCUGGAAUGUGUAGUGUAGCGGUGAAAUGCAUAGAUAUUACACAGAACACCGAUUGCGAAGGCAGGUUACUAAGUAUUAACUGACGCUGAAGGACGAAAGCGUGGGGAGCGAACAGGAUUAGAUACCCUGGUAGU
rnacentral:rRNA from 1 species